UCGGCUCAGAUCAGAAGCUGCAGCUUGCAGUAGCUGUUGGUUUUUCAAACAGAGCCCAAAUCAAACCUUCCCAUGGUCUGUUGAUUUGCCCCCAGGUUUACCGGGACUAAUCAAUUCAGUUGGAAGGAACAGCG
rnacentral:snoRNA from 1 species